rnacentral:misc_RNA from 1 species
GGAAUAUUGCACAAUGGGCGCAAGCCUGAUGCAGCCAUGCCGCGUGUAUGAAGAAGGCCUUCGGGUUGUAAAGUACUUUCAGCGGGGAGGAAGGUGAGUGACGGUACCUGCAGAAGAAGGUCCGGCCAACUACGUGCCAGCAGCCGCGGUAAUACGUAGGGACCGAGCGUUGUCCGGGUUCAUUGGGCGUAAAGAGCUCGUAGGCGGCUGCUCAAGUCGAAUGUGAAAACUCGAGGCUCAACCUCGAGCCUGCAUUCGAUACUGGGCGGCUAGAGUCUGGUAGGGGGAUCUGGAAUUCCUGGUGUAGCGGUGGAAUGCGCAGAUAUCAGGAGGAACACCGGUGGCGAAGGCGGGAUCCUGGGCCAGUACUGACGCUGAGGAGCGAAAGCGUGGGGAGCAAACAGGA